UACGGAGGGGGCUAGCGUUGUUCGGAAUUACUGGGCGUAAAGCGCACGUAGGCGGCUUUGCAAGUCAGAGGUGAAAGCCCGGGGCUCAACCCCGGAAUUGCCUUUGAGACUGCAUCGCUAGAAUUGUGGAGAGGUAAGUGGAAUUCCGAGUGUAGAGGUGAAAUUCGUAGAUAUUCGGAAGAACACCAGUGGCGAAGGCGACUUACUGGACACAUAUUGACGCUGAGGUGCGAAAGCGUGGGGAGCAAACAGGAU
rnacentral:rRNA from 1 species